GUUCAGACCAAACUUCUUGACCAGAAAGAUAUUGCAGAGGUAACUCUCUCGGGAUGUGGCCGGCUCGAUAGAGACCUUUAGCCACAGUGACCGAGCAUCCUUGUUGAAGAGGAUGGUCUGCUCGCGAUUGGCUCUUAGGGGUGGAGGCGGUGCAGCCUGAAUGGGAAUGAUCUGACCUGCUAUGGGUAGGGAAGAAACAUGAUGUGAACACAGUGGACCCAUCUGCCAUCUGUAAAGAACUGUGCACAUCCGGCACCAUGACCUCGGGUAGCACACCUCUGAGGCUAGAAUUGAAGCCUCAGGAAAAACUGAGACUCUUUAUAGAAUUGCUGUUUG